rnacentral:lncRNA from 1 species
AAAACCGGCUCCUCGCGGGCAGGGCUUCGGCUCGGGAAUAACGCUCUUCGGGAUUCUCGGGGCUUCGGAUCUCGCUUCGGGGCUCGGGAAUAAUACCGGGGCUUCGGGGUAUAAUCGGCACGCAAAUCGAGGCAAAAGGGCUAGAGAGAAUGAGGAAUUUGCAAAAGAAAAGAAGCUGCUUCGGACCUCCUUUUAUAGCCUGAUCCUCGGGGUUACGCGGGGCGUAACUUCGGGGGUACGCGGGGCGUAAUGCUUCGCAGAUCGUCAGCGCUUACGUCAUCGGUCCCCUUACGUCACUGCAUACGACUCACUACUCCGUAGUACUCGAGUGCCCUUCGCUGUACGCGGGGCGUACAGCAGUACGCGCUGCGUACUUCGGAUAGACCGCCUCGCUUCUCUUCGGAUAAUAUCGGAGUUAAAUUAAAAUAAAUAUUAAAUAUUUAUUAAAACUUCAAAAAUUCAUAUCUCCUUCAUACGAACUCCGUUUUCGACGUUCUUUAUAUCCACGCGAAGGUGAGACUACGCUCUACAACUUUCGUUUAGACUCCGUCGGCUAAUUUUGACUUUUAUUUUUAUUAAUUAUUUUUAGAAGGCUCGGACAGGAAAACUUCGUUAUUAAAUCAUAACUUCUUCGUCCGACGUCCGUUCUCGCCUAUCUUUUCAUCGUUUCGCUACUAACAACGAGAUCUUCGAUUCUCAUUUAGAUUGUUUUGGCUAGAAAUCGCUCGAUCUCAAAUCGAGUAUUCGGGCUGUAUACUGCCACGUCGAAACUUCAGAAAAUCAUAACUUCAUCAUACGAAGUCAGAUUUGAGCGUUCCUUUGACGCACGCUCUUGGUUUAACGAAAUCUACGAUUUUCGUUUAGAUCGCUAAGGCUAAAUAUCGCUCUAUCUUAAAUUCAUGUUUUACGUCACUCGACGUCGUGCCGGUUCUGUCGCGAAACUUCGACAGGUCAUAACUUCUUCGUUAUAACUCGGAUUUUGGCAUUCCUUAUAUCUCCGGAAUCCUUGUUUCAACCACUACAACUUUAUGCAAAGAUAUCGGGCUUAUCUCACACUUAAAUUUUGACGCUUAUUUUAUUCUUAAUUCAUUAAAUUAUAAUAAUUAAGAAAAUAAACACAUAAAUCACAUAAUUCACAUAAUUCACAAAUAAUUCAUUUUUAUUAUUUCAAAUUGGGGUUACAAUGGCUAACCUAGACUAUUACAUUGCUAAAAAUGGCAAGCCUAGAAACACGGGCGUUACACCUUGCUACUGGAGCUAAGGUGCCUUCAUAAUCUAUUCCUUCUUCCUGACAAUGUCCCUUCACCACAAGCCUUGCGUUGUUGUGUAUCACAUUCCCUUUUUUAUCCAUCUUUUUCCAGAAUACCCAUUUUAAGCCAACCACAGAUGCAUCCUUUGGUGUAGGAAUUAGUCUCCACACGCGGUUUUGAUCAAACUCAUUGAGUUCGUCUUGCAUCGCCUGUACCCAAUCAUAGGGAUUGCAAGAGCGGUCUUCUGCCUGUUGCUACAUUCGCAACUUUCAAACAUAGUCUCCAUUUCGGAGACCCAGUCCAUAACUUCCACCGGCGUCGGGCUUCCGGAUAGACAUGGUGGUUUGGAUGCCAUGAAAUCCUUAUACUUGCACCCACGACCAUCAUUUCCUCCAUACUGGUUAUUGCGUCUAACCACUGGUUGUUCGUCUUGACCAAUGAUUCCACUAAAGUUUUCUCCUUCAGACUGCCCUCCAUUCUCCUCGGGCUCUUCCGCUUGAAUUGACGGUUCUUCACGAUUCUGCCUAAGCAGGCGUCUUGUUUCUUCCAUCUGACGAUCCAACAUCAUUUGAAUCAUCAUUUGUACACCAGCCAUUGUUAUCGGCUCAGGUGCAUCAGCUACGACAGGUACUUGUUGAAUUACAGGCGGUUGAUUCCUGUUUUCAUCAGCAUUUCCAACUCCGCUUCUUGUUCUCACCAUUUUUGAUCUACACACCGAAUAAUUUCACCUUAUUACUCCAAACGAUUACAUGCUAGUUCUAAUAUCGUAUACAUACGCUUAGAAUCCUAAACACAUAAACCUUCAGAUCCGGUUGGCAACAAACCGUAGAUCCGAACAAACAAUAUCAUAUAUGGCAACAUAUAACAUUUAGCACAUAAAAGCAUUUUAGGCAACUUUCCUAAAAUAAACUAGUGCUCGUGUCUAAAAUUUAUCAGACACACAUCUCACAAUCUCCACUUAGCAUACUAAGUUUAAGUCUAGAAAUCCUACAAAUUCCUAGUUCGCUUAAACUAAUGCUCUGAUACCAACUGUGACAUCCCCAAAAUCUCGGCCAGAAAAGACCGAUUUCAUUUAUGCUUUUUAAAACAUUUUCAGAGUAAAUCCAUUUGAUUUUUAAAAGAGAUGCGGAAUUUGUUCCCAAAAACAAAACAUGAUAAGAUAGAUAUUUAUCAAAACAUUUCAUAUAGAAAUAUGAUUUCAUUUCAUAAUCAAAAGUCGGGAUGUCAUGUUCCGAUACAGAUCACAAAGCAUAAACGAUUACAUUACAAGUCAUUCAACAAAUAUAUACAUAUGCAGACUUGUAAACAAAAAUGACUUGAUGAUUCGCCCAUCUUAAGCUCUUGCGCCACUUCCUGUAAUACAAUUAAACUGAGUGGGUCAGGCUUGGGAGCCUGGUGAGCAUAUAGGGUUUUCAAACCCACAAUAAUUAUAUUUAAUUUCAUCAAUCAACAAUAAACCCGAUUACCCAUUCCCGUUAUCCUCACCUUACGUUCCUAAAAAUAACGUCUAUUAUAAGGAACUUAUUUCAGGAUUUUCAUCGGGACGGACAUUACUGCAGAGGGGCUUCCUCAACAAUAAGUGUCCUAAAGGCAACCAUGUGGGGGAUAGAGUACACCGGUGAACACGUCGUUCACAACACCUACAGGUAAUGAGCCUGCUAGUGUUCCACAGGACAGUCUAGAAUAGUCCGUGGUCGUCAUCCAUACUCUGCUGAAUGACUAGAAUAACACCAAUAACACCGAGGCCUCUCAUCUGUUUAUUACACACCAAUUAUCUACCCAUGUUCUACCCAACAUAUUAGUAGAUAAAAAUAUACAUUUUUAUACACUGUUUAAAAACAUGUAUAGCAUGCUUUAAUCAAUACAUAUUCCACAUAACAGAUGAGGCAUACACACAUAACACGUAUUUCAUAGAGAAUAUACAUUCACACAUAUAACCACAAAAUAUAUACACAUAGCACGUAUUUUAUAUUAAAUACUUCAUAAUAUUGCGUUGGAGAGAAAAUAACUACACACUCACUUGAUCAGAAGAUGAUCCGACAGUACUACGGCUUAUAGAAGUAGCGUCUCUCCGUAGAUCUGGAAUAUCUUCACAAAAACCGGCUCCUCGCAGGCAGGGCUUCGGCUCGGGAAUAACGCUCUUCGGGAUUCUCGGGGCUUCGGAUCUCGCUUCGGGGCUCGGGAAGAAUAUCGGGGCUUCGGGGUACAAUCGGCACACAAAUCGAGGCAAGAGGGCUAGAGAGAAUGAGGGAAUUGUAAAAGAAAAGAAGCUGCUUCGGACCUCCUUUUAUAGGCUGAUCCUCGGGGUUACGCGGGGCGUAACUUCGGGGGUACGCGGGGCGUAAUGCUUCGCAGAUCGUCAGCGCUUACGUCACCGGGCCCUCUACGUCAUCGCUUACGACUUCGGACU